GAGGCUGAUUUUUACACAACUUUGAAGCCUAAUUUCAUAUAUUUGGCGAUUUUUUUAAUCAUUCAAAUUUUGCAGGGUGGUUAACAACACACUUUUCUGUGGUAUGUCAAACUCAGAACACAUAUUUAUUCUUACUUUACACGGACUUUAAGGUUUUAUAUUAAGUACUUUUCUUCAGGGUGGGCUAACAGCAAAAUAACAAACAAAAGGGAAUAAAGGCUGAACCACCAGAACUUACCCACUCAAGCACAAAAUCCACAACGAUCCUGAAGGUGAGAGGGAGAACAGUCUGUGACGGGUGAGUGGAGUCUGUCAGGAUGCUGGUUGCAUGCAUGCGUUUUUGGGUCAUAUCCUCUAUAGGUGGCAGUGUGACCACAAUAGUCCUCUCUGCUGUCCUCACCACUCUCCUCAGGGCCUUUCUGUGUUAAGAGUGUUAAGAGUUCUCGUACCAGAGAGAGAUGCUGCCAGUGAAAACACUCUCUUUCCGCAAAAUAACAAACAAAAGGCUGAACCACCUGAACUUAACUACUCAAUCAAAAAAAUCCACAACGAUCAAAAACAAAUGUACAGAAUUAAAGCACAUACAAAUAAUACUCAGGCGACUUCUAGGUCUAUUUAAUGCUUCUUUGUACUUCUACUUCAAUACAUUUAUUUACCACAUAUAGUUACAAGUUCUUACAUAAAAUAUAUUUUAAUAUUCUGUUGUUUUAAUUUUCUCCUCCUUUAAAAAAAAUGUUAUGCAGUUUGUGUGAAAGGUGCUAUAUAAAUGCAGUGUAUUAUUAUUAUUAAUAUUAAAAACAUACGAUACACUUAAGAUUAAACUUAAAUGUAUUUGUUAGUGAUACAAACAAGCAAUAUACUAUAAUAAUAUAACACUCUAAAUAAGCCGCUCUGCAUAAUGAGUACUUUAUGAUACUUUAAGUACAUUUUGCUGAUCAUACUACUCUGCCGAUGUGGUCAUAACCCACAAAUGAAAGGUUACAGACCGAUGUCACAUUUUAACAGACGUGGUCAGCAUUCACUGGAACUACUGAAGAAAUAGUUCCUAUAAAGUUCACAGUGACGUCUGCAGAAAACCAGAAUGAUGAUCCAGGGCAGAGAUGUUGUAGUUUUUUGUUCUCAAACAUGAGAGCGACAAUCAUGAAAUUCAGUUCUCCUCCUUUGUUUUAAAGUAGAGACAAAAGAUCUGAAAACCUGGAUGAAUAAAACUGACACAACUGGUAGGGAGAGAUUUGACGGUAAGAGACGGUAAAAAUAAAGAAUAAGAAUAACAUACUACACUUAUUGAAACUCGUGAAACCCCAUUAAAACAAAUAAAGUUCAAUAUUCAGAAGCUUAUAAGCAAGAGUAGUUGCAGUAAUAUUAGUAGAUGUAAAUUAUCUGCACAUUCAACACUUUGUGAUUUUCACUUCCUCGUCUGUUUCCACCAGAAACAAACGUGCGCUCUUUCUGAGAACAAACACACUGUGUUCACACUUACACAGGAAA